AUGAUAAAAGGUUUCAAGAACAAAUAUACUGUCUCCCCCCUGAUAUUGUGAGCAUGGCCAUUUCGAAGCACCCAAACGGGGAAUUCAUAUCACCUAAAACCAAGAAAGAAUUCAGCAUUUUUGCACCUGUUUGCUACUCGGGCCAUUGGUGAUUAUGGGUGAUUGAUACAAAAAAACGGAGAUAUUAUAUACUUGACCUGCUACACAAGAAAGCUCCAACCGAGGAGAGAAAGCAGCUUAAUGAAUUCACUGUAAGUUAGCUCUGUGUUCUUUACUUUAAUAGAUAGGUGUAUUUCAAUUCAAUAUAAGGUGUAUGUAUGUUUUGCUUUGGGUGUAAGUAUGUUCUCCUUUG